UGUUUUAAUAAUUUAAACAAAAAUAUUGGUCUUGUAAACCAACAAUAAGCUUAGCCUUUUAAAAC
rnacentral:tRNA from 1 species